GGGCCUAUAGUAAAGUGGUAUUACGCGCCCUUCGCAUGGGCGAGUCUCGAGUUCGAUUCUCGAUAGGUCCA
rnacentral:tRNA from 1 species